UACGAAGGGUGCAAGCGUUAAUCGGAAUUACUGGGCGUAAAGCGCGCGUAGGUGGUUUUGUAAGUUGGAGGUGAAAUCCCCGGGCUCAACCUGGGGACUGCCUCCAAAACUGCAUGACUCGAGUACGGUAGAGGGUGGUGGAAUUUCCUGUGUAGCGGUGAAAUGCGUAGAUAUAGGAAGGAACAUCAGUGGCGAAGGCGACCACCUGGACUGAUACUGACACUGAGGUGCGAAAGCGUGGGGAGCAAACAGG
rnacentral:rRNA from 1 species